AUUGAACGCUAGCGGGAUGCUUUACACAUGCAAGUCGAACGAGUGGCGGACGGGUGAGUAAUAUAUCGGAACGUGCGCAGUAGCGGGGGAUAACUAAUCGAAAGAGUGGCUAAUACCGCCUACUAUUGGAGCGGCCGAUAUCGGAUGAGCUAGGUGGUGGGGUAAAGGCAUACAAAGGCCACGAUCCGUAGCUGGUGGGAGAGGAAGACCAGUCACACGGGUACUGAGACACGGCCCAGACUCCUACGGGAGGCAGCAGUGGGGAAUGUUGGACAAUGGGGGAAACCCUGAUCCAGCCAUCCCGCGUGUAUGAGAAGGCCUUCGGUUUGUAAAGUACUUUUGGCAGAGAAGCGGUAUCUGCAGAAUAAGCACCGGCUAACUACGUGCCAGCAGCCGCGGUAAUUC
rnacentral:rRNA from 1 species